UACGGGGGGGGCAAGCGUUGUUCGGAAUUACUGGGCGUAAAGGGCUCGUAGGCGGCCAACUAAGUCGGACGUGAAAUCCCCAGGCUCAACCUGGGAACUGCGUCCGAUACUGGAUGGCUUGAAUCCGGGAGAGGGAUGCAGAAUUCCAGGUGUAGCGGUGAAAUGCGUAGAUAUCUGGAGGAAUACCGGUGGCGAAGGCGGCAUCCUGGACCGGCAUUGACGCUGAGGAUCGAAAUCCAGGGGAGCAAACAGG
rnacentral:rRNA from 1 species